rnacentral:lncRNA from 1 species
UAUUAGUAUAGCAGCAACAUACCACAGUCAAUUACAAAACAAACGUACUUUCUGAUUCUGCUGGCGAAAAGUAACACAUUAAAACAACCUAAUGUUUAACAAGGAUGAACUGUGGCUCUGUUUUCAUCCCCUGCCAAAAGUUCAGACUAGGACAUGCAGCAUUUUAGAGAUGUGAGUGCUUCUCUUCCUGUAUGUAGACUCUCACUCACACUCCCACCCCCCUCUACACUCCUAUCACAUCAAUUCCCAGCAAGCACCAGUAAUGCUCCUCCUUUUUUACCCCAGGAUCCUUUUAUAGUACCCUGCUCCUCCCCUGCAGUAAUCCCACCUCCCGUCCACAGCCAAUAGUGGUUUUCACCUUCUCUAUGAGGCAUGCUUGAGCGUGCUCAAUACAGAUUAAAAACAUGGAGGAGGCAACUUUAGAGCUCCCAAUGUGUUAAGUCAAAUCUGCUCCUGCUGCUGUUGGACCACAGAAAUGAAUGUAGAGGAUGGAACAUCCAUCCUGAUAACAGAGCAACAUACAGAUGAAUGGGAACUACACAAAGUAAACAAAAGAUGGGUAAUGCAGCACCCCAGCAGGAAUUGUAGAGCCGCCAACUGAAUUGUGUUGACAUUGUAAAGUCGCAUUCCUUCGGAAUAUAGAACAGUUCUCUUGCAAA